GAUGAACGCUGGCGGCGUGCCUAAUACAUGCAAGUCGAGCGAACGGACGAGAAGCUUGCUUCUCUGAUGUUAGCGGCGGACGGGUGAGUAACACGUGGAUAACCUACCUAUAAGACUGGGAUAACUUCGGGAAACCGGAGCUAAUACCGGAUGAUAUUUUGAACCGCAUGGUUCAAAAGUGAAAGACGGUCUUGCUGUCACUUAUAGAUGGAUCCGCGCUGCAUUAGCUAGUUGGUAAGGUAACGGCUUACCAAGGCAACGAUGCAUAGCCGACCUGAGAGGGUGAUCGGCCACACGGGAACUGAGACACGGUCCAGACGCCUACGGGAGGCAGCAGUAGGGAAUCUUCCGCAAUGGGCGAAAGCCUGACGGAGCAACGCCGCGUGAGUGAUGAAGGUCUUCGGAUCGUAAAACUCUGUUAUUAGGGAAGAACAUAUGUGUAAGUAACUGUGCACAUCUUGACGGUACCUAAUCAGAAAGCCACGGCUAACUACGUG
rnacentral:rRNA from 1 species